rnacentral:lncRNA from 1 species
UUAAUGAAGUCCCCUCUCAGUUGCCUCUUCACCCACUCAGCCUUUCUUCACAAUGCUCCUUAACGAUCUUUGUUGCCCUCUGCUGGCCCCCAGGUUUGGGGUGUCGGAAGUCAGUAAUAAACAGGGGUGGGAGUGGAGUAUUGAUGUGUGAGGGGAAGGUAGGAGGGUGGAAGGAUGGAAAAGGAAAAAAAGGUGUCCGGGGGAGAGUAGUCUGAAUUGGGUUAUGGGGCGCUGCCCCACCUCACCCAUUGGACUCAGCGCGCAGGCCGUGAGUCUGUCUCAAAGCACCGCGGGGCCACGAGCAUCCGCCGGGGUUCGCGGGGGAACCGCUGCGGCUUCUCCUGCCCGGGCCGGCCCGCGCGGCGCCCCCCCUUGCUGGUGGCUCACCCGCCCGUCGCGGGCGGGGCCCUGCUGGGGCCGCGGGCGGCCCUUCCCUCAGACCUUCCCCGAGGCGGGGCGCGGGUGACGCGCACCCCGUGGCUGGCCUCGGCAGUGAGCUUCCCCCGGACGCCUGCAAGGACGUUUCGGGUUACUUAUAUAGCCUCACUUAGGCGACUUUUUCAGCUCAGGGGCUGCUUGGCUCCCAGGACCACAGAGCUGGAAGUGACAGGCCGAGCCCAGGAUGCUGUGCUGGGGAGCAGGAAUCCUUUUGAAGAUACUCCUGCAUACUUCAUGUGUACCAGAAGCAGGCUGUUUUCCUUUUUCCUUGCUUAAAGGUAAGAUUUAAUUGAACCAGGGAGAAGUCAGUGUUGCUGUGUCGUUUACUGAUCUGAUGGCUGUUUGGAGCUGGGUCUGAAAGUGUCUGGAAGCGGAGUUCCUUCAGCCAUGCUGCUCUGGGCAGUGUGUCUGUGAUUCCCAGAGGGCAGCAGGAGAGGAAAGAUGCUACUGAGGUGCCUCCCAGAGAGAAAAGGUAUUUGUCAUGUAGCUGUAACCAGCCACUCUUCAAAUCAAAUUUGGUCACCCAGGCUGCCUGCUGCUUUCCCUCU